GUUAGCCCACGCGACGUGUGAGUUGUUAUGUAUAAUUUGUGAUUAUAUUUUUUAAGUAUUAAAAUUGACGCGUGGGUUGUUUAGUAUAAUUUGUGAUUAUACUUUUCUAAGUAUUAAUAUUAAUGUUGGUUGUUUUUUUUGGUAAGUAAACUAUAUGUGAUAGUAUCUAUUUUUAAAAUAUUGUUGUUUUUAUUAUUGGGUCGAAUACCUACAUUAAGUAUUGCUUCAGUGAUUCUUUCUAAUGGUUCCACGCCAAUUCCAUCUAUUUUUCCUAUAACACAAUUUCUAUAUAAUUUUAUUUUAUUUGGUUUUGUAUUCCACUCUAACUUUUUCAGCUAUUGGACCUUUUCCUCUAUGUUUCUGUUGGCUAUCAAUAUAAUUGCAUACAUAUAUGUUGCUUCUUUGUGUGAUGAAUUUGUUGUUUUACGCAUCUUCUCCAUUCCUGAGUUUAUGUUGAAUUUUAAGAAAUAUUUAAUCAUACUUUGGAAGUAUAGUGCUUCUGUGUUUCCGUGUUUUGCACAUUCUUCUAUAAGAUUUGAAUAAAGUUGCUAGGCUUGCCUUGGUAAAGGCGAUAUUGGAUGCAAGUGUAAUUGUUUUUACACGUCUGGUGUUUUUGACGCUUUGUAA